rnacentral:misc_RNA from 1 species
AACAAGGCGUACCUGCGGACCUGCGGAAGGAUCAUUACCGAGUUUACAACUCCCAAACCCCUGUGAACAUACCACUUGUUGCCUCGGCGGAUCAGCCCGCUCCCGGUAAAACGGGACGGCCCGCCAGAGGACCCCUAAACUCUGUUUCUAUAUGUAACUUCUGAGUAAAACCAUAAAUAAAUCAAAACUUUUAGCAACGGAUCU